rnacentral:rRNA from 1 species
GACGAACGCUGGCGGCGUGCCUAAUACAUGCAAGUCGAACGCUUCUUUCCUCCCGAGUGCUUGCACUCAAUUGGAAAGAGGAGUGGCGGACGGGUGAGUAACACGUGGGUAACCUACCCAUCAGAGGGGGAUAACACUUGGAAACAGGUGCUAAUACCGCAUAACAGUUUAUGCCGCAUGGCAUAAGAGUGAAAGGCGCUUUCGGGUGUCGCUGAUGGAUGGACCCGCGGUGCAUUAGCUAGUUGGUGAGGUAACGGCUCACUAAGGCCACGAUGCAUAGCCGACCGGAGAGGGGGAUCGGCCACACGGGGAGUGAGACACGGCCCAGACUCCUACGGGAGGCAGCAGUAGGGAAUCUUCGGCAAUGGACGAAAGUCUGACCGAGCAACGCCGCGUGAGUGAAGAAGGUUUUCGGAUCGUAAAACUCUGUUGUUAGAGAAGAACAAGGACGUUAGUAACUGAACGUCCCCUGACGGUAUCUAACCAGAAAGCCACGGCUAACUACGUG